rnacentral:rRNA from 1 species
GUAGUUGAUCAGUGGCUCGAGGACGAACGCUGGCGGCGUGCUUAACACAUGCAAGUCGAACGAGGUCCACUGCGUAGCAAUACAAGGGAAGACCUAGUGGCGAACGGGUGCGUAACACGUGAGGAACUUGUCCCGGUCUCUGGGAUAACAGUUGGAAACGACUGCUAAUACCGGAUGACGUCGGAAUCUCGCAUGGGAUACUGACGAAAGGGUUACUGGAUCGGGAGAGCCUCGCGGCCUAUCAGCUUGUUGGUGAGGUAACGGCUCACCAAGGCAUCGACGGGUAGCUGGUCUGAGAGGAUGAUCAGCCACACUGGGACUGAGACACGGCCCAGACUCCUACGGGAGGCAGCAGUGGGGAAUCUUGCGCAAUGGGCGAAAGCCUGACGCAGCAACGCCGCGUGCGGGAAGAAGGCCCUCGGGUUGUAAACCGCUUUCAGUAGGAACGAAAAUGACGGUACCUGCAGAAGAAGGUGCGGCCAACUACGUG